GACGAACGCUGGCGGCGUGCUUAACACAUGCAAGUCGAACGGAAAGGCCCUGCUUUUGUGGGGUGCUCGAGUGGCGAACGGGUGAGUAACACGUGAGUAACCUGCCCUUGACUUUGGGAUAACUUCAGGAAACUGGGGCUAAUACCGGAUAGGAGCUCCUGCUGCAUGGUGGGGGUUGGAAAGUUUCGGCGGUUGGGGAUGGACUCGCGGCUUAUCAGCUUGUUGGUGGGGUAGUGGCUUACCAAGGCUUUGACGGGUAGCCGGCCUGAGAGGGUGACCGGCCACAUGGGGACUGAGAUACGGCCCAGACUCCUACGGGAGGCAGCAGUGGGGAAUAUUGCACAAGGGGCGGAAGCCUGAUGCAGCAACGCCGCGUGCGGGAUGACGGCCUUCGGGUUGUAACCCGCUUUCGCCUGUGACGAAGCGUGAGUGACGGUAAUGGGUAAAGAAGCACCGGCUAACUACGUG
rnacentral:rRNA from 1 species